rnacentral:rRNA from 1 species
GAUGAACGCUGGCGGCGUGCCUAAUACAUGCAAGUCGAGCGAACUGAUUAGAAGCUUGCUUCUAUGACGUUAGCGGCGGACGGGUGAGUAACACGUGGGCAACCUGCCUGUAAGACUGGGAUAACUUCGGGAAACCGAAGCUAAUACCGGAUAGGAUCUUCUCCUUCAUGGGAGAUGAUUGAAAGAUGGUUUCGGCUAUCACUUACAGAUGGGCCCGCGGUGCAUUAGCUAGUUGGUGAGGUAACGGCUCACCAAGGCAACGAUGCAUAGCCGACCUGAGAGGGUGAUCGGCCACACUGGGACUGAGACACGGCCCAGACUCCUACGGGAGGCAGCAGUAGGGAAUCUUCCGCAAUGGACGAAAGUCUGACGGAGCAACGCCGCGUGAACGAAGAAGGCCUUCGGGUCGUAAAGUUCUGUUGUUAGGGAAGAACAAGUACCAGAGUAACUGCUGGUACCUUGACGGUACCUAACCAGAAAGCCACGGCUAACUACGUGCCAGCAGCCGCGGUAAUACGUAGGUGGCAAGCGUUGUCCGGAAUUAUUGGGCGUAAAGCGCGCGCAGGCGGUUUCUUAAGUCUGAUGUGAAAGCCCACGGCUCAACCGUGGAGGGUCAUUGGAAACUGGGGAACUUGAGUGCAGAAGAGAAAAGCGGAAUUCCACGUGUAGCGGUGAAAUGCGUAGAGAUGUGGAGGAACACCAGUGGCGAAGGCGGCUUUUUGGUCUGUAACUGACGCUGAGGCGCGAAAGCGUGGGGAGCAAACAGGAUUAGA